UACGUAGGUGGCAAGCGUUGUCCGGAUUUACUGGGCGUAAAGAGCGCGCAGGCGGUCGUUCAAGUCGAGUGUGAAAGCCCCCGGCUCAACUGGGGAGGGUCACUCGAUACUGAUCGACUCGAAGGCAGGAGAGGGUAGUGGAAUUCCCGGUGUAGUGGUGAAAUGCGUAGAUAUCUGGAGGAACACCGGUGGCGAAGGCGGCAUCCUGGACCAAUUCUGACGCUGAGGAGCGAAAGCCAGGGGAGCAAACGGGG
rnacentral:rRNA from 1 species